UCCUCCCCCCUUUCCUUCACGCUGAUGACUGGGAUUUGGGCCUUGUCUUGACAAAGCAGUAUAUCCUUAUAUUGGCCUCAUUAAAGAAAAAGUAUUUGUCCAGUUCGAGGUGAUUUCCGAUGACCGGAAGCAGUGUUCAGUCAUAAGAGACGGUGGCAGAAACAUUACGUACAAAAUAAGUUACAAAAAGCGGGGGAGAAAAAAAACAAACAAAAUGACGCAGUUGGUUAGGAGCCCGUUUUAAUGUCAGCCACCAUUAUCAGAUCCUGUGAGAGGCAUCGGGAAUGACAAUGGAAAACCUCCCUGGUCUUUGUGUUUGAAAUUCACUUCUCCACCGAGGGACCGUGUGGGGUACAAGGAUGAAGUAGUCAUUAAAAAAAUGACACCGAUUGAAUCCAUUCCAACUUAUUAUGUGAAUUCUUAAGCACAUUUUUACUCAUUAACUUAUUUAGGCCAUAACAAAGAGGUUGAAUACUGAUUGACUCAAUACAGUUCAGCUUUUCAUUUAUAAUUCAUUUAUUUAAAAAAAAAUGUGUAAGAACCUAAUUCCACUUUGACAUUAUGGGGGUGUAUGUGUUCGGGUUCUUAUUUUUCAGAGUAAAUAACUCGCACUAGAGAAGCUUUAACCAAGUUUAAUUCUUCCCAAAGGUUCUAUACAGCUGUAUUCAAACUCAACAUUUCUCCAAUCUAUAUAUAUAUAUAUAUAUCCCACUUAAGACCCUUCUCCUUCUCUCCAAUCCUUGCAUUUUAUGGUUCUACAGGAAGAGAGUAAAGAGGGUAACAGGAUACCAAACAUUUAUUACUCCCUUAAGAGAAUCUGUCCUGACCUCAACCCCUCCUUCACCUAAUCCACAGAGGUCCAUCUGUCUCCCCUGUAUCAACACAUCUCUGUCCUGACCUCAACCCCUCCUUCACCUAAUCCACAGAGGUCCAUCUGUCUCCCCUGUAUCAACACAUCUCUGUCCUGACCUCAACCCCUCCUUCACCUAAUCCACAGAGGUCCAUCUGUCUCCCCUGUAUCAACACAUCUCUGUCCUGACCUCAACCCCUCCUUCACCUAAUCCACAGAGGUCCAUCUGUCUCCCCUGUAUCAACACAUCUCUGUCCUGACCUCAACCCCUCCUUCACCUAAUCCACAGAUGUCCAUCUGUCUCCCCUGUAUCAACACAUCUCUGUCCUGACCUCAACCCCUCCUUCACCUAAUCCACAGAUGUCCAUCUGUCUCCCCUGUAUCAACAC